AUGGCCGACGCGUGUGAAAGUGUAGUAUCUGUUCUUAUUAGCUUGAUAUCUGAUAAGGGUUGUAUUCGUACUUGUAUCCAAUAUAAUUAACUUAUUUUUCCAAUUUGGCGGAGUGCUUGAAGACUACUUCAGCUCCAACGCGUGUCGGCCCGGUAUUGCAAUUUCUUCGGGACCGACCCACAACUU